UAAUUGGAGAGUUUGAUCCUGGCUCAGGACGAACGCUGGCGGCGUGCCUAAUACAUGCAAGUCGAGCGGAGUCAUUUUGAAAGCUUGCUUUCAAAAUGACUUAGCGGCGGACGGGUGAGUAACACGUAGGCAACCUGCCCCUUAGACUGGGAUAACUACCGGAAACGGUAGCUAAUACCUGAUAAUUUCUUUUUUCUCCUGAAGAAAGAAUGAAAGACGGAGCAAUCUGUCACUGCGGGAUGGGCC
rnacentral:rRNA from 1 species